rnacentral:lncRNA from 1 species
UCGCGUCCUACAUCUGAAAACCACAAAAUCCGCAUGGGUGAGAACCAGAGGUCCCCAGCACUGUAACAGCUUCCACAUAUAUAAUACAUAAUAAUAGAGGAAAGCCAAAGGCAAUCCUAGAACUUCCUCCAGAUAAUAUCAAAGCUUAUAAACAAGCUAAACCAUAUAAGGGUAUCUGACUAAAGAUUCUUCAGUCUAACUAAUACUUCCCUUUCCAAUUCCUUCAAACCUCCCAACCACCAGCAGGAGUAUAUUAUAGCAAACACAGUUAUAUCAGACAAAGAAUAUACAAAUAGGAGCAGUUAAGACAUUUAGACAAUUAGCAAGUAAUAUGCAGUCAAAUAGGCAAUCUCAAACAAUUCACAUAGUAUGCAUAUGAUGAAUGCCUGUCCCUAGUGGCUGAUGAUAUCAUCUGUCGGUUAUAGAGCCAACCCGACAAGUCCUGGUAGCUAACCAUUGGACUGUCCCUCUGUCGCGCAUCCCCAACUCGAGUUAUACUCGUUAUAAACUUGAUCAUAAACAUGAUCCAUAUCCAUCACCCUCACUGGUGAAUAUUUCGGGGGCGAGCUCAUCCGGGUCUUUCACAGUGCCCGGCCACACUUACGACAUAGGGUCAACAGAGUCUCGAGCCUCCACCUGGAGCACGUGGUGGCUAGCCACUGCUUCCUCCCAGGGAUCUCGUGCCUCUGAUAGUGGAAGUGCAAAUCUCAAUUAUCAAUAAUUCAGCAUAAGCAUGCAUGAAUUCUCAUCCAUGGAUCAACAUCCAUAUCAGCCAUCCGGCUCACGGUUCAGUCCAGAACCAGCCAAUAUUCAUAUUAUACACAGCCUUUCCGGCUCAUGGUUAAAUCCAUAACCAGCCGUUUCAUUAGCAAUUA